rnacentral:snRNA from 1 species
ACUUAUACCUUGCAAGGGAAAUACUAUGUCAUAAAAAUGGUUUUUUCAGGGGAGGCUCAUCCACUGCACUUUGGGUAUGUUGCUAAUCCCUGUGAUUUCCCUAAAUGUGGCAAACUUAACUACAUAAUUUAUGUUAAUGAGGGGGUUAAAUUUGUGAUUUUUUA